AUUGAACGCUGGCGGCAGGCCUAACACAUGCAAGUCGAGCGGAUGAAGGGAGCUUGCUCCUGGAUUCAGCGGCGGACGGGUGAGUAAUGCCUAGGAAUCUGCCUGGUAGUGGGGGAUAACGUCCGGAAACGGGCGCUAAUACCGCAUACGUCCUGAGGGAGAAAGUGGGGGAUCUUCGGACCUCACGCUAUCAGAUGAGCCUAGGUCGGAUUAGCUAGUUGGUGGGGUAAAGGCCUACCAAGGCGACGAUCCGUAACUGGUCUGAGAGGAUGAUCAGUCACACUGGAACUGAGACACGGUCCAGACUCCUACGGGAGGCAGCAGUGGGGAAUAUUGGACAAUGGGCGAAAGCCUGAUCCAGCCAUGCCGCGUGUGUGAAGAAGGUCUUCGGAGUGGAAAGCACGUUAAGUUGGGAGGAAGGGCAGUAAGUUAAUACCUUGCUGUUUUGACGGUACCAACAGAAUAAGCACCGGCUAACUUCGUG
rnacentral:rRNA from 1 species